rnacentral:rRNA from 1 species
ACGGGUGAGUAACACGUGACUAACCUACCUUCGAGUGGGGGAUAACCUCGGGAAACCGAGGCUAAUACCGCAUAACAUCGCAAGAUCAAAGCAGCAAUGCGCUGGAAGAGGGGGUCGCGGCUGAUUAGCUAGUUGGCGGGGUAACGGCCCACCAAGGCGAAGAUCGGUAUCCGGCCUGAGAGGGCGCACGGACACACUGGAACUGAAACACGGUCCAGACUCCUACGGGAGGCAGCAGUGGGGAAUUUUGCGCAAUGGGGGAAACCCUGACGCAGCAACGCCGCGUGGAGGAUGAAGCCCCUUGGGGCGUAAACUCCUUUCGACCAAGACGAUAAUGACGGUACUGGUGGAAGAAGCACCGGCUAACUCUGUGCCAGCAGCCGCGG